rnacentral:rRNA from 1 species
GCCUGCCUGUGAUAUUAUUUAACGGCCGCGGUAUCUUGACCGUGCAAAGGUAGCGCAAUCACUUGUCUUUUAAAUGAAGACCUGUAUGAAUGGCUAAACGAGGGCUUAACUGUCUCCUUCCCCCAGUCAAUGAAAUUGAUCUCCCCGUGCAGAAGCGGGGAUAAACACAUAAGACGAGAAGACCCUAUGGAGCUUUAGACGAAAGGAUAGAUCAUGUUAAGAAUGCUACCCUAACUAGCAAAAACAAAUUGAACCCUACCCUAAUGUCUUUGGUUGGGGUGACCACGGGGAAACACUGAACCCCCGCGCGGAAUGAGGAAAAAUCCCUCAAAACCAAGAGUUACCGCUCUAAGUAACAGAACAUCUGACCUUAAUGAUCCGGCAAAGCCGAUCAACGAACCGAGUUACCCUAGGGAUAACAGCGCAAUCCCCUUCUAGAGUCCAUAUCGACAAGGGGGUUUACGACCUCGAUGUUGGAUCAGGACAUCCUGAUGGUGCAGCCGCUAUCUAGGGUUCGUUUGUUCAACGAUUAAAGUCCUACGUGAUCUGA